UACAGAGGGGGCAAGCGUUGUUCGGAAUUACUGGGCGUAAAGGGCGCGUAGGCGGCCGCCUAAGUCAGACGUGAAAUCCCUCGGCUCAACCGGGGAACUGCGUCUGAUACUGGAUGGCUUGAGUUCGGGAGAGGGAUGCGGAAUUCCAGGUGUAGCGGUGAAAUGCGUAGAUAUCUGGAGGAAUACCGGUGGCGAAGGCGGCAUCCUGGACCGGCAUUGACGCUGAGGAGCGAAAGCCAGGGGAGCAAACGGG
rnacentral:rRNA from 1 species